rnacentral:tRNA from 1 species
GGAGAAAUAGCUGAGUGAUUAAAGCGCUUGCCUUGCAAGCAUGAGGGUCUGAGUUCAAAUCCCCAGAUCCCUA